rnacentral:lncRNA from 1 species
CUUGGAUGAGAAAAGAGCCUACAGGGUCUUUUAGAUCAUCACAGUUAAAUUAUACUUGGCUAAUAUAGUUUGAAUAUUUAGUACAAUUUCAUGUUCAAAACUUCUGAAACACUUUUAUUCACAUGUAGACCAUAUAAUACUUAUAUUAUAGUAGACCAUCCUAUUUCACAAUCAAAUUAUACAACAGUAUACUAAAUUAUCAUAUCAGUUUUUUGUUUCUUUAAUAGUUGCUAAUAUAUGUGUAUAGUUGUGAACAUACCUGUAUAUGUGUAUGUGAUAUGUAUAUAUAUCAACUGUAUAGUUAAAACACCACAUGUAUAGAAGAGACCAUCUGACUAGUAUUUAAGCUUAGCCAUGAGAAUGGAAUUUGGAAGAUGAAGAAUGUGACCUGGAGGAAAGAAGAAAAUGAUUACAGAGGGGCAUUUGAGAGUGAGAGGAUAGAGAAGAGAGAAAGAGGUUGAGGAAAGAAGAUAUCAGAGUCCCCUCACUGCCCUCCCCAUUAACACACUCAAGGCUAAGCUAGUGAGGGGAGAGUAUCUUUGGGAUACUGGACAAAAUAUGGAAUUCCAAGAACCAGGAAGCUUUUGUCUUAUUCUAAAAGGAUAUAACUUGCAGGCUGUCUCCAGAUCAAUUGAGUGGUAGAUCCAUAUUACAAAUAAACAUGAUAGCAGAGUGUGAUUAGGCAGAAGAAGGUGCAUCUCAGCACCUCCUUCUGUGUAAUGUGGAAAUGAGCAGCUAUUGUAGUGGGAAUGAGCAACUCCACAGUAAAGGCAUUAGGCUGUGCCAUCUGGGCAGUGGAUGACAGAGAUAUCAGUGUGUGGCUGGGGUCUGAAGCCUGUUCAGGGUCAAGAUGAGCCUAAGUCAUCCAGAAAGGCUGAUGAAAUCAGCAAAAGUCAGCCAGACAAAGGGCACUGUCAAGGCCAUCAUAUGGCUCUAAGCAUCCCUUUUCCCACCUCCUCAAGAGCACCAAGAAAGACACCAACAUCCAUUGCCAAUUUCCUUCUCCUUGCCAGUAGGGAGGCUGAAAAAAAACAGAUACUCUCUUUCUAUUAAUAUAUCUUCCUUAUAGAGUAGGAUGGAUAUUUGGCUAAGUAUUGAUCAAUAAGAUAAAGUGGAAUUUGCUGGGUGGUGGGCGGGGGUCCUUUGUGUAAUAAUUUUGUGUCUUGAUAAAGUAGGAAUAUGGCUGGGACCAUCCCUGACUCUCUUUUUUCCUUGAAUGUGAACACAUGAGUGAAGCAUACAUCCAUUGUCCAUGGGGCAAGAAACAUGAGGAUGAAAAGCCAAUAUGUUAAGGACAUGAAGUGAAAAGCGGGAAGAGCUUCUUAUUCAUGUUAUCACUGAGCAGCGGGAACUGGGGGCUCUGCUCAUUAUAGUUGCCCACGGCCUCCAGUCAAUGAAAUUUCCGGCCAAUGAAAUGCUCUACUGUGACUGAAGCAGCAAAGAGAAGAUGGGUGGCUUUGAAAUCAGAAUUGGAUGCAGAGGGAGUCCCAGAGGCCAACACUGUGAACAUAAGAAGGGAAAGACCAGUUCUGCAAGCACAGAUGUAAUUUUGAGAAGCAGAGCUACAGUUCUGCCGGAGGCCUCUCCAGAUUGUGAUGCACUGGGAGCAAGCCACCAUGAACAUAUCCUCAGGUCUCCAGUCUUCUGCCAUCGCAUGAAAAAUGGAGCUUGUCAAACACAGAGCAGAGCUGAACUUUCUGAAUUCCACAGGACAGUUCAGAGUGCUUGGAAUGACACCCACCUGCAAUUUAAACAAAAAAGAAGGAUGAUUUGCUGCUACAUUUGUGUGGGAAGUGCUGCUUGCCGAUAGGGAAGUAGGAGAGGAAAUAAGGAAAACAAUAAACCAAGUACAGUUUUGCAAAUACCCAGACACAUUGGAUGGACACAGAAGCUUUCACUGGGAGAUUAUGAAGGGUAGAUGCUUUGUGUCUCCAUUGCCUCCUGUGAUGUGACCUCACAUUACAAGCCACUGUGGUUGGAACUGCUGGCAAAAUGGAAAGAACCAGGAAGAACAUCAAAGGAGAGUUUUAAAAGGAUAUGAAAUGUAUUAAUUUGUCGUAAUUAUCUACUUUUGAUAGAAGAAUCUCAGAGGUACUUAAGUUGAUGUCUUGGACCUUCAGUCCAGUGCUGACAUCUUGUAAAAUGUCUUAAGUUCCUACCAGGUAAUUUCUGCUUUCUGUCACAAAGCAGGAGAGAAGUUCCAGGAGGAAGUCAUGUAUUUUUCUCAUCUUUAGGUAUAUUAUAUGUAUACCCCAUAUUUCCCUAUAUUAUACUUACACAUAUAUUUAUGUUACACUUUCUAUUUCUCUUAUUUACGUACAUUAUUAACAAAAAAUUUUUGGAAGAUUGUAGAAAUAAGACAUGUAGGCAUUUGAAAUUUUGUGAGAAAGAGCAUGUCAGAUUUGGGAGUUAGGGAUUUUUAGACAUUGCCAUAAGAGGUAAGUAAAUGCUGACACCUUGCCUAUAGUUAAUAAAAAUAUAUUAUACAUUUGAAGUUUUCUAAGAGAGUAGAUUUAAAAUUUUCUCACUAUACACACACACAAUAUAUAUAUAACUAUGUUAGGUGAUUAACGUUAAUUAGCUUGAUUAUGGUAAUCAUUUCACAACAUAGACAUAUAUCAAAACAUCACAUUGUAUGCUUUGAAUACAUACCAUUUUUAUUUGUCAACCAUUCCCCAAUAAAGCUGGAAAAAACAAGACUUCAUUCCUGUCAAAUCUACUUCUCAGGGACCUACUCCAAGGGAGUCGCCAUUCCUUCAUUUUAUUAUUAAAUUGCUUCUUCAUAGAAAACCUAUCUUCGGUGAAAAAAUUAGACUCCAGAAAUGAUAUUUUGCCAGAAACAUCUCUAAAAGCCUUUUUAUCUCCCUGAUGAACUCAAUGUAGCUAUGGAAAUUUGAAUUCCCUAUCUGGGGUCAGCUUCAGAAAUGUGUUUAUUUAUGUGCUUCGAAUUGACUUAUCAACUAAUGAACCAAGAAACAAUUUUUCUUUUGGCUGUGUUUUAAAAGGGUCUUGCUCAAAUUUUAAAGGUUGGGGCAUUUUAGAGUCAGAUUUGUUUCAUAAUUUUUCUAUGUAACAUAUUCACUUCCCAUUAAAAUGUAAUUUUCCCUACCAAUAAGGUGUUAGGCUUCUGAUCCCUCAGGGGAACUGUGGUUGACAUGAGCAUUACCUCAUCCAAAUGUAUGUUCCCAGUGAACCUGUCAUCGAGUGGACUUGAUGCCUUCAUUUUUUCCUUUUGUAGCAAGAUGCCUAACUGGUUACUUAUGCAAGCAUUGUUAUUGAAAUUAGGGGGAGUAAGGGGAAUAAAAAAUGUAUGGAAAUUAUGAGUGUUAGAACUGAGCACAAUCAUUGCAGCAUCUGAUGCAGACAUUUCAGGGUAAGCGAAGUAGUCUCUUCAGAAUAAAAAUGAGGGUAAUUAGACUCAAUUCAUUUAUUCAACACUUGGGUCAAGUCCAUGAACUCUACAAAGAUAACUGUGCCAUGGAUUUUGCUCUCUAGAGUGGUAAGACACGUAUAUGGUUUGUCUACUCAUUCAGCAAACACUUUCUGGGCAUGUUUUGUCUCCUGAGGUCAGCUCUGGAGAUACAAUGGUACAUGGCACAAAUCUUUGCAAGUGCUAAAUAUAAUACCUGAUAUUAAUAGGCUGUGAGUGAAGAGCACAAAAUGUGUAGUGGGUGUUCCUGGGAUACAGUAGCUCUGUGCAUGUAGAAGGGAUUAGUAAGGGCCUCGUGAAGGAGACAGCAUUUGUUCUGGGACUUGAAGGAAAGACAGGAUUGGAAAUGUAGAGAUGCUAAGGAAGGUUGUCCUCAAUAGAGAAAAUGCCAUAGCUGAAGGCCCCUCAUAUGCUAUUCUUAUCUAACUAUGUGAUUCUAAGCUCAGGUGAUCCAAAGAGGCUCCUCAGAGUUGUGGCAAACUGAAGCCAGUGGUGUAGGUUGAAAGGAAUCUGAGAGAAGAUCAACACCCAGGAGAAUCUAAGGUCCCAUUGUGGGUGAAUCAUUUUGGGCCAUGUUUCAGAACAAAAUUUCCACAGACUCACUACCAAAUACUCAUGGACUUAUAUUUUUGGUUCAGAGGUUUGAUGAAAAACUCUGGAAGCCUAUUGCAGAGAACUGAAUAAGGUAAAAAUCUACCUUUUACUGGACACAUCGUUUAGGAAGCAAAUUAGUCUCCGUUAUCAGAAAGUUCCAAGGGGGAAUCUAAAAUGUGAUACUUUGCUCAGCAGCUGACAGUAUUUUUGCUACAUUUUCAACUUGCCUUCAAUUCUGUUUAUUUCGCUUGUCUAAUUUACUAUCUAGGUAAUUUAAACAAUGAGAAUACAGUGACCCGCAAUUUUCCUAAUUUAAAGGUAUCUCUUCUGCAAUAUUAAAUUUGCAUCUACAUUGCCUGCCUAACAAGACUGUCACCUCCUUGAGGUCAAUGUGAUGUUAUCUAAUUUUUUAGAUAACAUCUAUGUCUCUAAUAGAUCUAUCUGUGCAAUAGAACCAUACAGUCCUUCGUAGAUAGGGGAAGCACAAAUGUUGGUUAAUAUUUAACAGAGUAUCAGACCUGCAUCCUUCUCUCUAAGAGCUCAAACUUCAGAGAGUAGAUUCAGAGAGUAAAUGUUUUCCCAGGCUCAGGCAAGAGGGGUGGUUUGUAUGUUAUUUCUUUCUUAUUUUCCAGUUAGACUUUUGGAAAUCUGCCAGAUGCAAUUGAAAAACCCUGCUCAGCUUUGUCCAAUGUCUCAUUUGAGGAUCAGCAUGAGUUUGUUUACUUGAGAUUAACAGGAGUCAAGGAUAUACAAAUUCAGCAAUGUAUGGAUAACUUUCCCCUUUUUAACGCUGGCCUCACCACAAAACUACCACCAUAUUGUUGAAUUUUGGAAGUUUAUUAUGCUUUAUUUUUUCCUAUAAAAAAAUAAAUGUCAUCACAUUGUAAUAGUUUUAUAACCUGUUUUAUCAUAUUUUAAAAUACAUCUUGAAUAUUCUUUCAUAUAAUUAAUCUUCUACAGCAUAAUUUUAAUAUCUAUGAAGAUUCCAUUAUGUGCUUGUAUUAUACAUUUUUACUCUGAAUACAUUAUUGUUGUAAACAAUGCUUACAAUUAUGAAAAUAAAUAUAUAUGGCUCAUUU